rnacentral:rRNA from 1 species
AUUGAACGCUGGCGGCAGGCCUAACACAUGCAAGUCGAACGCCCUAGCAAUAGGGAGUGGCAGACGGGUGAGUAACACGUGGGAACGUGCCCUUCGGUUCGGAAUAACUCAGGGAAACUUGAGCUAAUACCGGAUACGUGCGAGAGCAGAAAGAUUUAUCGCCGAAGGAUCGGCCCGCGUCCGAUUAGCUAGUUGGUGAGGUAAAGGCUCACCAAGGCGACGAUCGGUAGCUGGUCUGAGAGGAUGGCCAGCCACACUGGGACUGAGACACGGCCCAGACUCCUACGGGAGGCAGCAGUGGGGAAUAUUGGACAAUGGGCGCAAGCCUGAUCCAGCCAUGCCGCGUGAGUGAUGAAGGCCCUAGGGUUGUAAAGCUCUUUCGCCAGGGACGAUAAUGACGGUACCUGGAUAAGAAGCCCCGGCUAACUUCGUGCCAGCCGCCGCCGUAA